ACGCCUUUGUCUAACACCCCGCACCGCGAGCACUAUUUCCCGGCGGGGUGAUUUCAGAGGGCGGAGAUUC
rnacentral:snoRNA from 14 species